UCAAUAUGUCCAUCUCUCCAGUUUCACUCCUUGGUGCAGAAAAACAGCAUGGCUUAGAUCACUUGUCUAUCGCGCACAUAAGAUAUGCAGUAACAGCGUGUUACUCAAAACUGAACUGCAGAACAUUGCCCAAUUUGCGUCAUGGAAUGGUUACCCCCGUCGUCUGGCAAAUAAACUCAUAGAGUCCUUCACACUAAAGCCAAGCCCGAUUGACAACACCAUCAUCACCAUCAACACCGAAGACAGUGUCACAGACCCUCCCAAGAUCUGGAUUCAUCUACCAUUCAUUGGUAAAAGAGGAAACACGUUAAUUAAAUCCUGCACCACUAAACUAACACGCUUGCUGAAACGACGCGCUCAAUUCAUCAUUAUUUACGACACCACCAGCACUAACACCUUCCUAAGCAUGAAAGACCGGACUCCUAAAGAACUACAAAGCAGUGUAGUUUACAAAUUUAGUUGCCCUGGAUGUAAAGCUUCCUACAUCGGAAAGACAGAUCGCUGUCUGAUGACAAGGCUAAAAGAGCAUGCCCGCAGUAAAGAAUCAGAGAUUUACAAACACAUAAAUUCAUGCGAACACUUCCUGUAUUAUAGAACGCUAUUUAGUCUUCCUCAUACACUAUUUAAUCUAGACGACUUCACUUCUGAAUCAAUUAUUUUCAACAACUGUAGGAUAAUAGACAAAUCCAGACAUUGGUCUUUAUUACUUUUUAAAGAAUCUCUAUAUAUUCAUCGCCAGAGACCGGAAGCUAAACUGACUGCAAGCUAGUCGAAACGUCGAAUCAAAAUGUUAACCGUUUUCGGAGUGUCCAUUGUUUUGUAUUUUUUAGAAAGCAAUAUGUAAAAUAUAACGGAGUACAAUCUGAAGAAAUGACUAUCACAAGCGGUGUGCCACAAGGAUCAGUUUUAGGUCCUGUAUUAUUUCUCUUAUACAUAAAUGAUAUUCAAUAUUGCAGUAAAUUGGUUUCAAUUAUAUUAUUUGCCGAUGACACUAACAUACUGUAUAGCGAUGUUUGUCUCAAAACUUUAAACGAAACUAUUUAAGUUGAAAUGAACAAAAUUACAGAUUGGUUGAAUGUUAAUAAAUUAUCUAUAAACACUGCGAAAACCAAGCUGAUCCUUUUCAGAUCAAAAAAUAAGAAACCUAAAUGUGAUUUAAGAAUUUCUGUAAAUAGCGAAACUAUAAAACAAGUAAAAAAAACUACGUUUUUUAGGGAUUGUUAUAGAUGAAUUUUUAUCAUGGUGCGAUCAUAUAGAUCUUAUUUCAAAAACAAUUAUCAAAUGUACAGCUAUUAUAUCCAGAAUACGACAUUUUACAAACCUAAAUUCCUUAUAAAACUGACCUAUUACGCAUUGGUCUAUCCAUAUCUUAUAUACUGUAAUUUAGUUUGGGGUAACGCUUACAAAUCCCACAUUCAAAAAUUAGUAAAUAUCCAGAAAAAGAUAGUAAGAUUAAUGACCUUCAAAUCCUAUUUUGACUGAACUGAAAUGAACCAAUUUUUAAUGACCUUAAAAUACUAAACUUGUAUAAGUUGAAUGACUUCUUAACAAGUCUAUUUAUGUUCCGAUCUCUGUGUUCCGAUAUUUUCAUCUACAAAAUCUUCCAGAAAUUUUUGAUAAAUAUUUUUUAACUAACAAAUAAAUCCAUAAUUACAACACAAGAAACGCAUCAUUGCUCCACAAAAGUUGUACUAGAACAAAUUAUAAAAAACACACGUUCGGUAAUAACGGCAUCGAUGUGUGGAAUAAUCUUCCGACGCAAUAUAAGCAAAUUAGAUCUCUUCUAAUAUUUAAAUCUACAAUGAAAAUAUAUUUUCUUCUGUCAAAUUUAAAUAAGUAGAAUUCUUGCCACAAAGUGAAAAGCCAAAUAAUUGUUAUAGUCUGAUAUAUCUUUUACGCACUUUCCUUAUUGUAAAUAUAUUACCGUAAUUCCUUUGAAAACAAUUGGACUGGUAUUAACUUUUAUAAAAUAACAUGUAUAUAACGCGUGUUCUGAUUGGUCGAAACCCGUGUUUGGAUCAGGCCAUCCAAACACGGAAGACUAUCGUGUUGUUGUUAUUUUAUAAAACAAUUACUUUAUGGUUUCCGUGUUUGGAUGGCCUGAUCCAAACACUUGGGAAUGUUGCUCAAGUUAAGAAAAGCGGGCAAAAUCACUCGCCUUCGGCUCGUGCUUUCGCUCGCUUUUCUUAACUCUCGCAACAUUCCCGCGUGUUUGGAUCAGGCCAUCCAAACACGGAAACCAUAAAGUAAUUGUAUAUUAAUAUUAUAUUAUUUGAAUUGUAACUAGGGACCUUAAUUAAACAAAAGCCUUAUGGUUUCUAGAAGGUUCCUAGCCCUACUAUUGUAAAUAUUUUCUAUUUAAAUUGUUAAUUUUAUAAACUGAUUUGGGCGAAUAGAUUAAAUAAAUAAAUAAAUAAUAACCUCCUCCGCAGGUAACUCUUUGGCAAAAAUCUAAAUAUUAAAAAAUUGGCAAAAAUGUGAAUAUUAUAGGCCCUUUAUCCCUAGUGAUCCCUAAGAAUCCCUAACUUUAAAUUCGUUGUUAUGACCCAUUGCACAUGACUUCACAGCGCAGGUGAUGAUGCAUCUGGAGGACAAAUUAGCAAUCUAUGCAUGAUAGGCUAUAACUUUUGUAAACGAAGCAAAUUUUGUAAAAGUUAAAAAAAAUUGUAUUAAAAUGGUUAAUUUUUGCGCUGUAUGUGGUUGUUGUACCCAAACAGAUAUUAUUAGGGAGCAUCUGGAAGACACUCUAAGGAUUUGUGACGUCAGUGCAAUGGGGCUAUUCAUAAUCCUUUUGCCGGUUUUUGCCAAAGAGUUGCCCUCGGAGGAGACUACCACGGGAAGUUGUUUUUGUAUUUUUAUCUACAAAGAAAACGCCAGUUUUUUUAUUAUAAUUCUAAACUUUUCAAAACUCGAACAGUACGUAUGUUGUUAACUAUAGUUUUUAAUCUACCUUUCAGUGCAGGUGUGCAUAUAUUUUUAAUUAAUAUAUAUUUAAUACGUUCAGUACUGUAUUUCAUAAUGCUCACAAUGUUCAACAACAACGUGACGGACUGAAAUGAUAUUUUAUAUUGUCUUCAAGGCACUCCUGAACUGUCACUGAAACUUAGUAAAAACGUACCUGUUAUUCAACCCAGUUCACAUGUAGCUUUUUUAUCUGCUGAAUCCCUACCUCCUCCGCAGGCGCUUAGGGAGCAUUUCGGGCAGGUUCGGAAAAUCCCUGAUCUCAAAUUUCACGCCCGCAAACUAUUCCCGCCCGCAUCGAAAGGCCUGCGGAGGAGGUAGGCUGAAUCCAAUAAAGCUACGUUUACACGCUGCGAUUAAUCGUGUACGAUUCGUUUUCUGGCGUAUGUAAUUGAGUAAACACGCGUAAGCUGGCUACAUUUGAAAUUUCUUUUUAACGAAACGGCAAUGAAUUAUGGCACCAGCACUCAUUUUAAUACUCCAGAAUACGAAUCGUACACGAUUAAUCGUAGCGUGCAAACGUAGCUUAAAACUAUAGUGCAGACAGUUACGAGUUGUUUUAUAUGAACAGUCAAACUCUAUUUGAAUGUUUUGAAAAGUUUUCACACCGAUUUUCACAACAAAACUAAAUUUAAGAAACGUUGCGUUUAUUGUGUUCUCAAUUUUUCGUUUUUGAACAUAUAUUUUCAUUUCAAAUAAGUAAAAAAUAUCUUUGUGAUACAUAUAAGCCAGCAAAAACUAAAAGUGAAAAUUACUAAAAAAGCCAACUAUAAACCGUACACGUUUCGUGAAGUUUCGUGUUCCUCAUGCAUUAUAAUUUACACGCAUGCGCAAAUAGUGAUCAUGUCAAAUUGAUAUUUUGUCACGUCAACAGCUUCAACUGGACUUUAGGACUAUUUUCCUCGCGUUUCCUUCUGGUGAAUUUUUUUUAAACUUUUGCACACUUGCUAAGCAUGAUGAGUACUCAAACAUAUCAAAAUUUCAAGAAAUUCUACAAGACGGAUUUUUUGUAGUCGUUAUUCAUGAAUAUUUCAAAAACUGCCUUGUAAACAUCCCUUCAAAUUAUAAUAUGUCAUUCCUCUUUGAACCAUAAAUCUUAAGAAAAAAUUCAGAAAAAUUGACCGAAGGAAAAAAAAGAUAUUGCCGUUUGAUUGUAAAAUUAGACAAUAAUAUAAAAGUGCAACAGAUGAAACGUCAUGGUUGCCAUGGCAACAUUAACACUGUUUUUAUUUAUUCAUAUAUCGACAGCAUGAGACUUUCCUGGAAAUGAACUUUCCUGGAAAUGAUUAUAUUUCCCUGUCUUAAGUGUAUUCAAUAUAAAUUUGGUUGAAAACGAAGGUUACUUAAAAUACUUAAAAUUUUAGAAAACUGUAGGGAGCCACCAAAGGAUUCAAAAGGAGAGUUCUACCAACAAAAUUCUCAAGUAUUUGUAAUUUCACGCAAAAUACCGCUGGAAUAUCUCGGGCUCCUUAUACAAUAACAUCUUGGAAUACAGGACGACCGAGCCGGAUUUUUGAGGGUGCACGUGGACGAAGGGUGGAGGACUGGGUGGAGGAAGGGCGGAGGAAGGGUGGAGGAAGGGUGGAGGAAGGGUGGAGGAAGGGUACCGCAAUGACGUCACCAUUAUGUCUCAUUAUGUCUUAUUAUGCACGCAAUGGAGUACGUCAUAAUAGACGCGUAAGAAGAGGGAAAUAUGAGGUUAUAUAAAAUUUAAUUUUAUUCGUUUUUCAUAUGAUUUUCAUGUCGAGUAAACUAUGACGUCAUGGUGGCCGAAUGGUAAUGGCGUUAGGUUGUAAUGUCCCAAAGAAAGGGGUUCGAGUCCCUUACUUGGCAAACAUUUAUUUAUCAAAAUAAGUUUAGUUGACAAUAUAAGCCCAAUAUAAUCGUAUCCGUGUGUAUGCAACUUUCUGCAAAGGAGGACACUUAUUUUGUACUAAAGUAUAUAUACAAAUAAUAAAUACUGACAAUUAUUUGAUAUUUUUAUCGGCGUCAUAAAGAAAGCACAGGCUUCACAUGUAUAAUGCUAUAAUCAUAUAUCUCUCGAAGCUUUUUGAAGGUUAUAUAAUCAUCCUCCUCCGUAGGCAACUCGAUGGAAAACAAUGGCGAAAUUUACGCAACAUUUAGCAGAUUGAGAGCUGGUGAGGGGCGUGGCAGUAAUUAAAAAGUCUGGUAAUCUCAUGAUCGCCUGUUACUCCUAUCAUUUCUCUAUUCUCAUUUCUCUGUGUAAUUCUGCCUUUGGCCAUGGAGUUGCCUCUGGACGAGGCUAAGGUUAUGUAAAUCAGGACAAAAUCUGUAAUUUACAAAUAUUGAGUAAACAUUCAACUUUUUUAAUUUUCUUUAAUCAUUGUUCUAAAGUCACUUACAAACCUCGUUUCAUCAUUGUAAAGCUUGUUUUUCACCAGGCGAACUUGUUUGCGCAAAGCGAACACUGAGUGAAUAAUGUGUUCGUUUUCAAGUUUCUCGACGAAUUGUUUUUCGCAGAUGCCAAUCACAUUUAAAAGCCCUUUUAUACUCGCUUUGUUAAGUAUACUAUUAUAUAGUAUCAUGUGAAAAUAUAUUCAUGUGGUAGAUGAGCAUUCGACAUUACAGU